GGAGCACAGCGGGAUGCUGUCCGCUUCUCCAGGGCGCCUUUGCUCCGUGUUUCAUAUAGGGCUGGGGGGAGAUACAGCAUAGUGACAUAAAUAGGGAGGGAGAAGGAAGAAAAGAAGGAAAAGGGCCGUGCGGUGGCUGUGGCACUGCAGCUGGGGACGCCUGGUCCCCAUGGGAUGCUGCUGCUUGUGUAGGGUUUUCCUGUAUGUAUAGGGUGUACGUAUGUAUGGAUCUGUGGGGCUGCUGGACCGAAUUGCAUGGCAGGUCUGUGGGUCUGCUGGGUACGGGGCUUGCUGGAUAUGAGUUGGUUGAGUAUAUAGGGUUGCUGGUUGUGUAGGGUUGCGGGUGACGCAGUUCUGUAGGGUUGCAGACUGCUGAUGGUUGCUGGUCGAGACGUGCUGAGGAUACAGGGGUGGAAGGGAUGUAGGAGCGUUGGAUGUGUAGGGCUGCAGAUCACGUGGUGUUGGUCAGUAUGUGGGGCUGCAGGAUCUGUAGGGCCGUGGGAUAUAUGGGGCUGUGGGAUGUAUGGGCAGGGGGAUACGGGUUGUGGGAUGCACGGGGGUGUGGGGUGCACAGAGGUGUGGGUUGUACAGGGCUGGGGGAUGUAUGGGCUGGGGGGUAUAAAGGACUGCAGGAUGUAUGGAUUAUGGGAUGUACAGGGUUGUGAGAUGCACAGACUGUGGGAUGUGUGGAGCAGGGUGAUGCAUGGGCUGUGGGAUGUACAGGGCUGUGGGAUCUAUGGAUUAUGGGAUGCACACAGCUGUGGGAUGUGUGGGUUAUGGGAUGUAUGGGGCUGCGGGAUGCAUGGGGCUGUGAGAUGUAUGGGUUAUGGGAUGUAAGGGUUAUGGGAUGUAUGGAUGCACAGGGUUAUGGGAUGCACGGGUUAUGGGAUGUAAGGGUUAUGGGAUGCACGGACUGUGGAUGGAUGGAUGGCGCUGGGAGAUGCACGAGACGCACGGAGCCGUGGGGCGCUGAGGCUGCGGGCUGUACGCGUGACACGUGCCGGCUCUCGGGGGCCGCCCGGGCAGUCCGGGGGUUGCGGGGCCGAGCGCACGUUCCCCCCCACUCCCCCC
ensembl:lncRNA